CCUCUAAGUCAAGCGCUGUUUCUUUUCAUCUUUGCACCCCCACCCAUCCAUCCGUUCGUUUACUCAUUAGACGUGUAUUUAUGGAACUGCGGUGAUGUGCCAAACACUAUUCGAGUUUGAAUGAACGCAUACCCUUGACAUUGGGCUUGCUGGAUGUUAGUUCAUUUGCUCACUCAUUCUGCACGUAUCCAGUGUGAUCGACAUUGGAGCUGCAACAGUGAACAAGCAUACAUAUGAUCCCUGAUCUUGAGAGCUCAUGGAGGAGCUCCAGAGAAGAAGGUGGUUUUCAAAGGCAGGAAGCAGGAGGACGGAGUGGAAGCAAAAUCCAGGAGACCCUUCCCAGAAGCUUCCAGCAGCCUGCUCUCACAGCGCAUUGGCCAGAGCCAACCACACAGCUGUCUUUUGCUACAAGGGAUGAAUGCACAGCUGUAAUCCUUCGGAUCAAAGCUCUCUGAUAAAUAUGAAGCCAGGAGCAGAAGCAGACAGAAAGCUGAAUAGACACUCUGCAUCUGUGAUUAUCCAAGGGUGAAGAAGGGUCUCUGUUGCCCAGGAGAGAGCAAGAUGGAGUUCCUCAUGUCAAGCAGUGACUCAUGCCAAGCAGUGAGUGACAUAAUGAAUCUGGAAGGCAGCCAAGGGCGAUGAGCCAAGAAUACAUAUCAUUAGAACCAGAACGUACUGGUGGCAUCCAGAACUGAUAACCAGCAAAACCGAGAGAGCCUGGAAGCAUUGAGAACUGAUAACCACUAGAACCAGAAGAGGCCGGGAAGGCUAAAGAUCCAGCAAACCCCUUUAAAAAGGGAGGUUUCUGCAGCAAGCUGUCAGGCUCCUGGGACACUGACCCUUUCACGUCUGACCACAUGGCCAAGGCAGCUGCCACCACAGACUCUGUCCCCUUGACCUCUAAACACAGUAGUGAUCCUCUGGUCCUCCACUGCUUGAACAAAAUACGCAGUGAGCGCUGAGUUCACGUGGACCAGACCAAGCCACAUCUCAACAGCACGCUCAUGAACUGACCUUGAGUUUGGUUCAUUAAUUUCAUACCCAUCAUUGUAUCUUGUUUA